rnacentral:rRNA from 1 species
CGCUGGCGGCGUGCUUAACACAUGCAAGUCGAACGGUGAAGCAGAGCUUGCUCUGUGGAUCAGUGGCGAACGGGUGAGUAACACGUGAGCAACCUGCCCCUGACUCUGGGAUAAGCGCUGGAAACGGCGUCUAAUACCGGAUAUGAGCUGCGAUCGCAUGGUCGGCAGUUGGAAAGAUUUUUCGGUCUGGGAUGGGCUCACGGCCUAUCAGCUUGUUGGUGAGGUAAUGGCUCACCAAGGCGUCGACGGGUAGCCGGCCUGAGAGGGUGACCGGCCACACUGGGACUGAGACACGGCCCAGACUCCUACGGGAGGCAGCAGUGGGGAAUAUUGCACAAUGGGCGGAAGCCUGAUGCAGCAACGCCGCGUGAGGGAUGACGGCCUUCGGGUUGUAAACCUCUUUUAGCAGGGAAGAAGCGAAAGUGACGGUACCUGCAGAAAAAGCGCCGGCUAACUACGUGCCAGCAGCCGCGGUAAUACGUAGGGCGCAAGCGUUAUCCGGAAUUAUUGGGCGUAAAGAGCUCGUAGGCGGUUUGUCGCGUCUGCUGUGAAAUCCCGAGGCUCAACCUCGGGUCUGCAGUGGGUACGGGCAGACUAGAGUGCGGUAGGGGAGAUUGGAAUUCCUGGUGUAGCGGUGGAAUGCGCAGAUAUCAGGAGGAACACCGAUGGCGAAGGCAGAUCUCUGGGCCGUUACUGACGCUGAGGAGCGAAAGGGUGGGGAGCAAACAGGCUUAGAUACCCUGGUAGUCCACCCCGUAAACGUUGGGAACUAGUUGUGGGGUCCAUUCCACGGAUUCCGUGACGCAGCUAACGCAUUAAGUUCCCCGCCUGGGGAGUACGGCCGCAAGGCUAAAACUCAAAGGAAUUGACGGGGACCCGCACAAGCGGCGGAGCAUGCGGAUUAAUUCGA